rnacentral:rRNA from 1 species
GUAAGGUAGUGGCCUACCAAGGUUAUAACGGGUAACGGGGAAUCAGGGUUCGAUUCCGGAGAGGGAGCCUGAGAAACGGCUACCACAUCCAAGGAAGGCAGCAGGCGCGCAAAUUACCCAAUCCAGACACUGGGAGGUGGUGACGAGAAAUACCGGGUCGUGCCCAAAAGGUUUCGACACUGGAAUGAGUGCAAUUUAAAAAUUUCAACGAGUAACAACUGGAGGGCAAGUCUGGUGCCAGCAGCCGCGGUAAUUCCAGCUCCAGUAGUGUAUCUUAAAGUUGCUGCGGUUAAAACGCUCGUAGUUGGACAAGAGAGUGAUCAAGUGCGGGCGGGGAGUAAGCCUACUCUGUACUGGCUAGGAUGGCUGGGUUGCAUCUACGGAUGUUAGCUUGGCUGUCUGACUGCUAGGCAGCAGUACUACUUGUCGACCAUGCUGCUUGGUUACUUGUUUGUUCGUGAGAAUAUCAUAUGGCCUUAACUGUGCUGUGUGAUGUAUCUUACGUAGUGUGCCUUGAAUAAAUCAGAGUGCUCAAAGCAAGCUUACGCUUGAAUGUUAAUAGCAUGGAACGAAUGUUUUGUGAAAGCACAAGCAGUGAAGUAUUCGUACUAUCGUUACUUGUGCAGCACCAACUCCGAAUCGGAACAUUGGUAGCCGAAUUCGGGUGAUGAUUAAGAGGGGCAUUUGGGGGCAUUAGUAUUUGGACGCGAGAGGUGAAAUUCUUGGACCGUCCAAGGACUAACAAGUGCGAAAGCAUUUGCCAAGUAUGUUCCCUUUAAUCAAGAACGAAAGUGAGAGGUUCGAAGACGAUCAGAUACCGUCCUAGUUCUCACCGUAAACGAUGCCAACCCGGGAUCAGCUCGGAUGGUAAAUUGUGGAUCCAG